UCUCUCAAGUAUCACUCCUUUAAAUCACCAUAAUCGAAAUUCCCAUUUUCUCGGAUUUUCCUCCACUUUCCUUCCCAUUUUUGCACCAUCCGUACAACGCUAGAACCCUAAGCCUUUUUCCCGCGACAAUUGCACAGCUCAUCUCAGCUCGCCCCACUUUUAGUUGACAUCAUCAUCAUCAUCUUGGAAACCCUUUUGACAAAUCUAUUCUUUGAAGCUGUUAUGGCUGCAAAAUUUUCAGACAGCAGUUUUGAUGGUUCUGUAACUACUGACUUGGACGGUGAAAUAUCCAAACCCUAAAUUCAAACGAAACUAUUUUUUCCCCUUCUGGGGAUUAUCAUCAUCAAUGCAAUACAGUGUGGGGAAGCCCAUAUUUCUCUUUCUUUAAAUCAGACGACCAGAUCCACACACACACACAAAAAAAAAACCCUAAAGUUGAGAUUUUUAAAUCAUUGGGUGGUGAAGAAAGAGGCAUGAGACUGUUGAUAUGGAGAUUGAGAAUAUUCAGAUGUUCCCCGAAAUCGGUCGGACCGGUGAAAUGCUCCGAGAUGGCAUGAAGAAGGCUGGUAACAACACUAACGGUAACAACGGUAUCGCUGCCGGAGAUAUCGGAAACCGUCUAAGCCGUUGGCACCACCAUUCUUCCCGGAUAAUUAGGGUUUCAAAAGUCUCCGGCAGGAAAGACCGGCACAGCAAGGUCUGGACUUCAAAAGGUCCACGUGACCGGCGGGUCCGGUUAUCGGUCCCCACAGCUCUCCAGUUCUAUGACCUCCAAGACCGGUUAGGAUACGACCAACCGAGCAAGGCGGUCGAGUGGCUAAUUAGGGCUGCCGCCGAUGCCAUCUCCGAGCUUCCAUCUCUCAACGCUACUUUUCCGACCGACGACGAGAGAAUCGCCGGCAACGAAAACGUACUUGCUGAAAACCUGACCCAGAACCCGAACUCGAUUCAGGAGCAGACAGCUUCAUUGUCUAAAUCUGCUUGUAGCAGCAAUUCCGAGACGAGCAAGAACUCGGGUCUGUCGCUUUCCCGGUCUGAGCUCCGGGAUGAGGCCCGGGAGAGAGCCAGAGAGAGAACGGCGAAGGAGAAGGAGAGAGAAAGCCACACCGUGAACGACAACAGCCAUGGCCACGCUUCUUUCACUGAGCUGCUCACCGGUUCGGUUCACGCAGGAUCGGAGACCGGUUCUGUUAACCAGAGCCGGCAAUGGAUGGCUUCGCCGGCUCCAAUGGAGUAUAUCAGUUCGGGUCUGCUUCUAGGGUCGGGUCAAGCUCAGUUCCCUUUUCAGACCGUCUCUUUGCCAUUCUCAACAAUGUCUGAUCAGCAUCAGCAUCAGCACCCUCACCAGGAGUUUUCCUUCGUUCCUGACCAUCUGAUAUCCCCAGCUGUCGGCGCAUCCUUCAAUCUUGACUUCAACAUACCAUCUUCCUCCGCCAUGGCUGGUUUCAAUGGUUCCAACAGGGGGACCCUUCAGUCCAAUUCUCAAAAUCAUCAAUCUUUCCUCGUUAAUCUCCAGAGGUUUUCUUCGGAUGGAGGUGGAAGUGGGGGCGGUGCACCGUUCUUGAUCGGUGCACUGCCCGCAGAGAAUCACCACCACAACCUCCAAUUUCAGCUUUGCAAUGAAAAUGGAUGCAGAAACUCGGAGCAAAAGGGCAAAGGAAAGAGCUGAAAAUAUCCUCCACUUUGGGCAACCUGAUUGUUCAGGGGGAUCGCGAAUCUCUAAACUAUGGAACAGUAGCAGCAGGAUCCAUCAUCGCCAAGCUCAAUUGUGUAUUCUGAGUUUUUUUGUUUUUGGCAUCAAGAUUUCAUCUGUGUGCCACGUUUUUUACCCGUUUAGUUGAAAAAACUGGUUUGCUUUCAAGGUAUUGGCGAUUCAUACGUCAUAUAUACAUAUGUACAUGUAUAUGAUACAUGUGUAAUAAGCAUGUGUGUAGUGUGAAGGAAUAUUCCCUGUUUCCCAAAAUGUUCAUAUGUUUUCAUGGA